rnacentral:lncRNA from 1 species
CUCUGUCUGAGAGCAAUCAAGGACCCACAGCCAUCCAAGGACAGAAGAACAAAGGAUGCUAGCAAACGUUUCAUAAGAGUGCUUCCAGAGAGAGUGAGCUGUUGCUUGGGAGAAACAACGGAGGAGCAGAAAAUCUUUGGCACAUCUCGGUUUCAGCCUGCUAACCUAAGAAGCAUGGUGAGACUGAAGGGCUCAAGAAGGCACAGGAUUGCAACACCUCAAGGGAGAGCUGGAGCUGACCAUUUUUCCAAAAACAGACCUCCCAGACACAGUCCUGUUUUCAGAAAAUGUCAUCUUUCUUUUCCUCCUCUUCACACAGACAGCUAUAGGUAAGUAAUGAAAGAGCCUUGGCAGGACAC